rnacentral:lncRNA from 1 species
GUUACAAUAAGAAAUAAGCUUUUAACAACUACAUCACAACCAAUGCCUCAAGUAUUGAAUUACAAAUGAAAUAAGCAUAUUUAUACAUGUGGAAGCUUAGGUACAUGCCACAAUACACAAAUAUGUGAAUUUCAUACUCUAGUAGUCUUGAUGAUAGUGUGAUGCUUCACAAAAAAGUGUUGGCUUUGAGGAUUUGAAAGUGCAAUCUACAUGCAAAAAUAACAAUGCGUAAGUAUACUUGCUUAGUAAGUUCAAAUGGAAAUUACCAUACUUACCUUGCUUCAUUUAGGGAGUUAGCUAAGUUAAUUGUUAUCUAUUGGAAUUAGAGGUGCUCAUGGGCCGGGCCCAAAAAAAUUCAGCCCGUGUCUUAGGCCCGGGCCUAGCCCGAAAUAUGGGCCUGAAAAUAUGUCCAGGCCUGGCUCGGGAAAAAAUUCCUUAGCCCGAGUCCGGCCUGGCCCGGCCUAUUUUUUUAAUAAACACCAAAAAAUUAUUUUAAAAAUAAAAAAAGUAUUUUAAAAAUAUUUGAAAAUAAAAAAUAAAAAAUAUAUAUUUAUUAUAUAUUUGGGCCGGGCCCGGGCCAAAAAAGUGAUGCCCGAGGCCCGGCCCAUUUUCUAAACGGGCCUCAUUUUUUUGCCCAAACCCAUAUUUCGAGCCUAUAUUUUUACCAUAACCCUCCCAUAUUUCAGGCGGGCCCUCGGGCCGGGCGGCCCACCUCUAAUUGGAAUAUAGUAAACGUAAAUAUAAAGCAUGAGAUAUUAAUAUAAUUCAAAAGAUAGAUGUAAUAAGUAAAAUUUUAUAAACACUUUUAUAAAGAGAUUAUCAACAUUAUUUAACAUAUAAACUAGACAUAUUAAAUAUGGUUUAAUUCAAAUCAAUUUAUAAUCUCAUAAUUUUAUUCUCUCUUUUUUUAUUACAAUUAUACAUUUUCCUCAUUAUUUGACAUUCUUAACUUCAAUCGUCUUAUCCUUUGAUAACCUUAGUAAAAUGGGUCUCAAACACUCGAGAAUUCGAUCCUAACACCACCAAGCAUGUGUUUUAACAUUGCAAAAAUGUGCAUUUCAACCCACACAACCAAGAUAUAGCACUAAGAGUGAUUUAACCCACACAACCAUGAUUCUCAAAAGAAAACACCGCUUUGACCCACAUUAAAUCAUAAGUCAAAGUAACUUAAUAAAUUUCCAACUAUCCAUAUAACCCAUACACGAGCUAAUAUUCCCUAUUGGUAUGUCAAUUGUGUCCUAAAUCUUCUGUCAAGUUUACAGAGUAUUUUACAUAAUCAACUUAUAAAUGUAACAUUCCAAAAGUCAUAAAAAUCCUAUAGUAAAUUAAGGGCAUGUUCAUAACACUGAAUCUCAUAACAUCAAGUCAAUAAAGAAUAUGUUUAACUUUCAACCAUUCUUGAUGUCAAUAUCAAUACAUAAAUUUUACAUACCACUUCCAAAUACAUAUAUAGUCAUAUAAAUCCAACUAACACCUACAACAAGGUAAUUAUGGUAAAUUCCAUGAUAACUUACCCAGAAUCAACCCAAAAAAAUUGAAAACUCCCCACUUUCCACUUUAAUCAACAACCUUUUUCCACUUGAUUUUCUUCACCAAAUAUACAAAAUAUCAUAAAUACUCAUAAAUAAACUAUAAUACUAACAUUAAAUAGUCACUUGGAUAGAUCAACUAACGUAUGGACGCUCACAAAUAUGAAAUGGAAUAUCUAAACGAUGUAAAAUCAUAAAAAAACUCACUUCAAUCUUCCCUUUCUCACUCCACCACAAAUUUUCUCUCCUGAAAGCUUAAACCUUAAGUGUGG